UGGGGAAUUUUGGACAAUGGGCGAAAGCCUGAUCCAGCAAUGCCGCGUGUGUGAAGAAGGCCUUCGGGUUGUAAAGCACUUUUGUCCGGAAAGAAAUCCUCUGGGUUAAUACUCGGGGGGAUGACGGUACCGGAAGAAUAAGCACCGGCUAACUACGUGCCAGCAGCCGCGGUAAUACGUAGGGUGCAAGCGUUAAUCGGAAUUACUGGGCGUAAAGCGUGCGCAGGCGGUUUUGUAAGACGGAUGUGAAAUCCCCCGGGCUUAACCUGGGAACUGCAUCGUGACUGCAAGGCUAGAGUAUGGCAGAGGGGGGUAGAAUUCCACGUGUAGCAGUGAAAUGCGUAGAGAUGGUGGAGGAAUACCGAUGGCGAAGGCAGCCCCCUGGGCCAAUACUGACGCUCAUGCACGAAAGCGUGGGGAGCAAACAGGAUUAGAUACCCUGGUAGUCCACGCCCUAAACGAUGUCAACUAGUUG
rnacentral:rRNA from 1 species